rnacentral:tRNA from 1 species
UGGCGGUGUAGCUCAGCUGGUUAGAGCACGCGGCUCAUAUCCGCGGAGUCGCAGGUUCGAGUCCUGCCACCGCCAUUUU